GGAAAAAUCGCCUAAUGGUAUGGCAAUAGUUUGCUAAACUGUGCAUCUUAAUAGAUGCUUGGGGGUUCGAAUCCCCUUUUUUCCG